CAAGUUGACACUGUGUAGAAGGAAUGA
rnacentral:piRNA from 1 species